rnacentral:lncRNA from 1 species
CUUAUUAAUGGCGGCAAGAGUUGGGAAGAUGUCACAGCAUAUGGGGGCAGGAGGCAGGGGCUAUGCUUCAGACAGGCUAUUGCUGAAGACAACAUGAUAUAACAGAAUUGGAAGUGCUUUCACAAACAUUGUUUUAUGAACACAAGGUAAGGUAGUGAACAAAUACCUGACUUUGUGAAUUUGCAUGCUGCCAAUAUAUGCACACCUGCAUCAUAAGGUCUCAUUUAUGAUGCUCUAUGUUUGUUUUUUUUCCUUUAAAAAUUUUCUGUGUAUUCCCAGCUGUUCAAAAUAUAAUUCCAAGUGUGUAUCAUCUGUAGAAUUGGGCCACUGCAGAGCACUAUGUUGUUCCUGAACCUAAUCCAAAGUUUCAAGAGCUAGCCCAUCUCUGAACUUCCCACCAGCAUGAAAACCCUAAUCUAAUCUGUGCAACAAUAAUCUCUAGAUAGGCAUCUCUCACACUUGCUUUUGGAGUACUGUUUUAGUAGCUUACUUGUGUUUUUUAAAGUUCAUUUCUCCACCCACAGGAUAGCUCCAUAUCUUCCAGCACCACUAAUGAGUAAGUAUUAGGGCCAAGCUGGUAUCUGCAGAGUGCUGACUGGCCAAGAGUCUGCCUGUGACUCAUGCCUUAGGCUGUCCAGCAUUGGGGUGCUGGGGGGCUGUAGCCAUAACAUUUGCAGGAUUUGGAAAUUCCACCUCAAGCUCCAAUCCCAGGGUGUUGAUUCUGGCUAACCAUGUUUAUGCAAAGCAAUCCAAGCACUUUGACUCACUUUGGGAAUCUGGCAUUCUUGGGCUUUUGAUAUUGAGACAGUGGAACACUUUUGUAUCAGUUUAGGUUCUGCCAAUAAUUGCUAUCCAUUUAAGCACUUGAUUUUUUACAUAUUUACCAGCAAUUUCCAAGGCUUUAAUGGAUAGAGUUAGCACUCUUCUGCAAGGAGAAAUUGCUCCACAGUGCUAAUAGUCGUGGAUUCACAGGCACUCAGUGAGAAUAUUUUAGGCAUAAGCUUAGUUUUAUUAUUGUACCUUAGAGAAACCUUGUAUUUUUAACUAGGUGGUAACUUUUUACUGUAUUAGUUAAUCAAAAGAAACAUAAAUAUAACCAAAAUGUUAUUUUUAGUUUGUACUGGAUUCUAUAAAAAUAUGAUUACCCAUUCUAGCUUUAUUUUGAUGUUAAUAUUUACAUUUAAAUAGAAGAAAAACAGUAAAGGGAGCACAUCAAUGUAAGAAGUGUAUGGCUUUAGUAAAAUAUAUAAGAAACUUUGGUAAACAGGGAUUUAAAAAACUCUAAUCCCUUCACCAACUCAGAAUGCCAGUUCCUUACAAAGCUGCAUACCUGAGCAACCACACAUGUGGUUUCUGUGGAUGAGACAUUUAAAUGAUGCAAUCAUUUUGGGAUAACAGUUAUAUAAUAUAAAGGUUUCACAUGAGUGUCUAGCUGAAAAACCACUGCGUUUUCCUAUGAAUGCAAAGAAACCUCUGCUCAGGUGUUGGAAGCUGUGCCUCUCCAGCUGCCUGCCACCUUCCACCCCUUCACCUGUGGCUUCCGCUGGUUUCUGAUGGGCACCCUUUGAUCACUGGGGUCAGUUCAAUUUCCUGGGCCACUGGGUCAUGGGCAGGACAUGAAAAUGUAAGAAGAGGGACCAUGCGGUUCACCUAAAUGACACUCAUUUAAUAACAACAUCAAAAUCCUUGAUGUGACAGGACCUAUCGCCUGGCAUACUAAAAGUGGGGAGAGCAAUUCUCUCAUCUUCUGCUGUAGUUAAUGAUAUCUUCCUAAACCUGCAUUAAUCAUCAAGUGAACUUCUAGGGAUAACGUAACUUCUGGGAGAAUUUAAACUGAGAUUGAAUUUGUAUCUCAGACGGUAGUGCCCACAGAGGUGGGCAGUGGCACAGGCUUCCUUCAGCUUGUGUCCCAGGUUUAUGGGAGAACUCUUCUCCCUGUCCCUCAAUUCACACACAAAAGUGCAAAACAGGAUUAUGGGCAUAGGGCAUGGGCAAUUUCAUCUACAGCAGUGCCGAUCUCUGCCUCACUCUUUGAGGUCACCACAAUGCUUUCCUUCUGUUCAGAACCAUAAUGGUUUCUGUGUAUCAAUUGUUUGUGGGCAACUGCUGAAAGGGAAUCGAGGGAUAAACAUGAUUCUAACCAAUCGCAUUCUGUGGUGUCUAUGGGCUUCCACCUGUUAACAUGGGAAACUUUCUGAAUUUAGGUUCAUCCCCAUCUUGUGGAAUUGGAUUUCCACCAAGGGUUCCUGCUCCUCAUUUAGCGUGGAAGAAAGUGGAUUUUGCAAAUAACAUUCAUGAUGUUUUGGGCAGUAUCUACUCUGCCUGCAAGCUUAGGCUACAAAUGACAAAUGGCACACCAAAGUGAGGUGUGGUCGUGCAGACAGAAAAAGCAAGGGCCUCCUAAUGCCCAGGAAGCAAAAAGGAAAGAACGUCUCUUCGGUACCUCAUGACUUCCUGCUAGAGGCCUGAAGUCACUGGCACACUGGAGGAUUCUGUUAGUAUUCUCAUCAGGUAUGCUGUUUAUUAGACAGAUUAAGACUAAAAGAAAAUACACAAAAAUAGAAAGCUGCUUCUUUGAGAAUGAUGAGUAUGUUUUCAAAAACUUUAAAUUUUAAAUAUUUAUAGAUUCACAUGAAGGUGUCACAAAAUGUACAGGGAAGUCCUGAACACUCUUCACCCAGCCUCUGCCAAGGUUAGUGUCAUGAGUAACUGUAGUAAAAUGUCGAAACCAGGAAACUGACAUUAGAACAAUCCACAGAGCUUAUUCAGAUUUCAACAGUUAUGCAUGGACUCAUUU